UGACCACCUGAGGUGAGCACUGAGUCAGCUGCAGGGGCACAGGUGAAUGCAAUUUCACCUGAGUAACUGGAAGAGGUGGAGCCUGGCUCCACCCCUCCUAGACCCCAUUUAAGGGCUGACUCCCAACGAGGAAGGAUUUCUAGCUGGAGAUCACUCCUCUCGGAGCUCCUCUGUGAGUCCAGGACAUAGACUAAUGGUAGAAGCGAGAGGAAGCACCAUAAAUUUCUACCAAACACUAGAAGAUGAUGACUGUGCCAUGAGACACAAAGGACCUGAUCAAAGAUGAAACAAAGCUCACUCAUCUCUGGGCCCUGCUAACAAUGCAAGGCAAAAAACUCUUACUAUCCCAAAGACCCUUUGUUGAGCACACCACUGAUGAAUCAUCAAAUAUCCAAUGUGGAACCCUGCAGGUAGUGAUAAGAAUGAUGUUCCUACUAACAAAGUCCAGUUUUAUACAAGCAGUGUUGGACUGAACUGAGGCUGGUUGGCCUUUAAGUGACCUGGAUCCUUAUGCCUGCGAUUCCUGAAGAUGGAUGAAGACCUGCUACAAAUGUUAUUGACCUGUAGGCUCCAGUGGUUAAUAAUUAUUUUAUUCCUUAUACAUAAGAACUUACAAACCUCAUAGACAGUAUAUCUAGACUUACAUUAAAUAAAAAAUGCCACAGAUAUCUUGGCUCUAAAAGCAAAUUCGGUUAGCAAAUUCAUGGGGCUGAAACUGUUCCUUUUGAUUGUUCUUCCUGAAUAUCAGCCAGUACCAAUUUUUAGAUGUUCUGCUUCUCACUAACACAUGUUUAUUAGGUCCCUUCAGAAUACCUUGCAAUCUUCUCUCAUCUUGCCAAAUGAAAUAAUUUUCAACCAUCUGCAAAAUUAAUUGACUGACUCACUGUUCACAUUUCUUUUCUCAGUGAUUAUACUCAUACAAAACACAUGGGGUUCUAUCAGACAUUGGUCCUAACAUGUUCCCUGAGAUGUUUUAAAAGACUAUUUUUAUUUAAUUUUUACAAGAUUAACUGAUAUUGAAAUAAAACUGUGAUCUGCGUUUCUCCAGUUCCCUACCUUUUCUUUUUUCUUUCUUUUUUUAAUAGCUGGAACAGUUGUUACCCUGCAGGUCUCCAGUGUAGCUGCUGAUUUUAACCAGAGAUUUCAUAUUUUGUUAGCUGUUAAAUCCUUUCUGUCUUCAGCACCUGCAGAGCUUUGGAUAGGUAUCAGCUAGUUCUCAUGAGUUGCUGAUUGCCAGUUUGUUCCAGCCUCUUUUCCUGUACUUUUCGUCUUAAGUCUCUAUUCGAGGCCUAUCUUCAUUACUUGAAAUUACUGAUUCUGGAUUGGUGAAUGUAUACUUCUGUUGUGACAUGGUGGGAAGGGAUAAUUUAAAGAAUUCUUUAAGUUUAUUUACAUUUUUAUUAUCUUUUAGUCUGUGGUCGUCUUAGGCCUGGGGAUAACUAAUUCACUUUUGACUUCCUGCUUCUGUAAUACCUGGAAAGUUUCAUUGGGUUUGUUGUAUCCCUUGCAAUUAUUCUCCAAAUUCCUGCUUUGCUCUUCUGUCUUCUUUUCUUCACAGUGUCACUGAUGAUUUUCUCUUUUCCUGCUGACUUCUCUUGGGUCAGAUUUCUUUCUUCUGAAUGAGACUAAGUGCACUUUAGUAGAUUUUUAACUUUUUUUUUACUUAUCCAGCUAAUUUCCUCAGCUACUGGCUUAUUUUUUAUAUCCAUCUUUCUUAUAUAUAUAUAUUAUUGAUUGUAUCAUUUUUCCCAUGAGGUAAAACUUCUAAGAUACUUCCGUUAUUGCACACACACAAAAAAAAUCCAGCUUUAAAUAAUGUUUUGUGGAAAACCCAGCUAAUCAUGAAAUCUUUAGCUGUCAAGAAACCAUGUUGCUCAGUCCAAUAAAGUUACUUCUGUUAAUUAAGGAUCAGCAUUCACUUCAUCAAGGGAGACUGUAGUGGAAAUGUCAAGAGAUGAGGAAGUGAGAGAUUUUCCAGCAAGAAACGUUUAAAGCAGUAACCCUGAAGUCAGAUUUAACAAUACGUAGAGACAGCAAAAAUUUCAAAGCACUUGACAGUGGCCUUUAAGGUGAAGGAUGAAUAGUGAGGGAGGAAAAAAGGAACCACACGUGUGUAAAAACAGGUUUUGGAUUUAUAGAUUGCUACAGGUGCUUAUGUUCUUCAGUUUCUAUAAAUCUUUCUGUGUGAAUUUGUUUAUCCAGAUGGAGACUCAGUAAUGGUACUGAUACUGUAACCUGCAGAGUAGAGUUGUAGAUUACUUUCCUAAAGAUUAAUUGUGAACUUUUGUUAUAAUUUCACUGGGAACCACAUAUUUUCAUGAUUUUUAAGAGUAAAGAAACUUUUUAUUUAUACCUAGAAGAUAAUUCUUUCUCGCAGAUGUAUUCUUCUAGCUUUGUUAUUCCUGGCAGAAACUGAAACCCACAAGGACUUCCUUUUCGUAAUCUGCAGGUUUCACUACCCUACAACAAUUCUGAGUACUUAACAAGUAAGUUUCUAAGCCAGACGUAGGAAGGAGAUGUAUUUACAAUGAAAUGAAAUUGCCAAUGGAAUUCUGAAAGCUAAACAAGCUAUCACUUUCUUUCUUUCCUCAGUUCCAUCACAAUAUGAUGAAUCAUAAAUUAUCUUUUAUUCUCUUGGAAAAGCUUUUGCAGCUACAAAAGCAAAUGGCUAUAACACAAAGACAGCUCAUCCCUCCUACUAGCCUUUAAUUCAGUUGACACCUAUGCCACUGGGUCUCACAUAAAAAGUAAAGCUUGGUGGUGAAAAUCAUAGAGAUCUUGGCCCUUUCUAAGUUCGCAAUAAAAAGUUAACUUUUUGCAUUAAUAAACAUCAGUGAAUGAGGUUUUUGUCCAUUUGCUUUCUUUUUAGUAAGUCAGAAUUCUGAAAUGCUGAAGAUUUACAACAAUCAGCUUCACUCAUUAAAUGCUUUGAACGUGCCACGAACCACAGCCUGGACCUCAACAGUUUCCCCAGUUACCCCAGCAUACCCAUAUUAUGCUGACACUCAAAUGUUGGACUACAGGAUGCCUGCGAUGCCGUGAUCUGCAAAAAUUUCCUAUUUCUUCUCCUUUAUUGGCGGAAUCACACAGCUCUCCUUUCCAGCCUCUGCAGUCUGAUAUGUGCAUGAGAGAACAAGCAGAACAUUUUCUCUGCUUCAGAAACAGCAUGGUGUUUCCAUGCAGUGUAAUAUCACUGGAGACCUGAAGUCAAGUGGAAGAACAGUCAUCUGUGAUUUCUGUGGAAAGAAGAGAUGAAGAAAUGAGCUUGCUAGAGCACACGUGCGGGUGCAGCAUCCUUCAACAAGCAUUUGUUGAAUGAGCAUAUGUUUUGUCAGUAAAGCCUUCCAGACCGAAUAUUUUUAAAGCAGACACAUACUGUCUAUUUCUUUAAUUACUUAAUAUUUUAAAAAAUAUUUCAAUAAAGUAUUUCAAAUCAGC
ensembl:lncRNA